rnacentral:rRNA from 1 species
ACGGGAGGCAGCAGUGGGGAAUAUUGGACAAUGGGCGCAAGCCUGAUCCAGCAACGCCGCGUGGAGGACGAAGGUCUUCGGAUCGUAAACUCCUGUCAGGCGGGACGAAGGUUUCCGGGCAAAUAGUCCGGAAGCUUGACGGUACUGCCAGAGGAAGCCCCGGCUAACUCCGUGCCAGCAGCCGCGGUAAUACGGAGGGGGCUAGCGUUAUUCGGAAUUAUUGGGCGUAAAGGGCGCGUAGGCGGCCCGGUAAGUCAAAGGUGAAAUCCCUCGGCUCAACUGAGGAACUGCCUUUGAAACUGUCGGGCUCGAGGCCGGGAGGGGGUAGCGGAAUUCCCAGUGUAGCGGUGAAAUGCGUAGAUAUUGGGAGGAACACCGGUGGCGAAGGCGGCUACCUGGACCGGUUCUGACGCUGAUGCGCGAAAGCGUGGGUAGCAAACAGGAUUAGAUACCCUGGUA